GCUUUGCCUUGAAGCUCAAGCAACGGCCUAAAAAAAACAAACCAAACCAAAACCCAUGCAACGCGAAGCACAGUACACAAACCCCGAGUCUCUUUCUCUCUGUUUUUCUCUCAGACAUACACAAAACCGCUCAGACAUCUCUCCGAAAUCUGAGGAAAUAAAAGAGAUGAAGCGGUUUGUGGCGGGGAGUCAGGCGAGGGGGCUGAUCAGCCGCGGCGGCGGCGGUUACAUGUCGACGGCUGAGAUGAUGGCGAGGCCUGGUAGCACGCAGGGAGUGAUGAUGAAUAAGCAGCAGAGUCAACAGUACUACUACUGGAGGAGUAGAAUGAUGAGCUCGGUGGCGGAGAAGAGCAAAGAGGUUGUUAAUGGAGGAGGAGUGGAGGCGAUCAAGGAAGAAGAGAAGAAGGAUAAGAAGAAUGGUGAUGAGGAGAAAGGAAUGGUUAAUAGCUAUUGGGGGCUGUCUAGGCCUAGUAUCAAGAGACCAGAUGGUACCGAUUGGCCUUGGAAUUGUUUCAUGCCAUGGGACUCUUAUGAGGCAGACUUGUCAAUAGAUUUGACAAAGCAUCACGUGCCAAAGAAGUUUUUGGAUAAAGUUGCAUACAGGACCGUGAAACUUCUUAGAAUUCCAACGGAUUUGUUUUUUAAGAGACGGUAUGGUUGUCGAGCAAUGAUGCUGGAAACAGUGGCAGCUGUUCCUGGUAUGGUAGGAGGAAUGCUGCUGCACCUAAGGUCUCUCCGCAAGUUCCAGCAAAGUGGUGGUUGGAUCAAAGCCCUGCUUGAAGAAGCAGAGAAUGAGAGAAUGCACUUGAUGACCAUGGUGGAACUUGUACAGCCCAAGUGGUAUGAAAGACUUCUGGUUCUCACCGUGCAGGGAGUCUUCUUCAAUGGCUUCUUUGGUGUAUAUCUUCUCUCCCCCAAACUGGCCCAUAGAAUUGUUGGUUACCUGGAGGAGGAAGCAAUACACUCAUAUACAGAGUAUUUGAAGGAUAUUGAUAGUGGUGCAAUUGAAAAUGUUCCGGCUCCUGCUAUUGCAAUAGACUACUGGAAGCUACCCAAGGAUGCAACCCUUAAGGAUGUUAUAAUUGUAAUUCGUGCUGAUGAAGCUCACCAUCGGGAUGUUAACCAUUUUGCUGCUCUUCCUCUCUUUACUUGGGAUGGUGACUUUGGUCACGUAGGCUAGCUGAUGGGGUAUUAUGAAAUUCUGUACUUCACAAAUAGGGGAAUUCCGUCAUUACAGUCAUUAUUUUGUAGUGCCUAAACGGACAUUCACUUUCAGGGAAAGGAAUUGAGAGAGGCACCAGCCCCUCUUGAUUAUCAUUAAGAUGUAUUCUGUGAAGAUUCAAAUAGAUAAGGGGGUGUUUGGUACAUGUGUUUGAAAACAUGUGUGGAAAUACGUGUGAGUGAAAAAGUGUAAAAAUGCGUAUAAUGUUGUUUAAAAACUGAAAACAUGUAUUGGAGUUUGUCUACCAAACAGCCCCUAAAUGUUCAGACAUGUAUAAUCUUGAAUUGCUUAUGGUGAGGACAUUUGUGUCUAUAGGAGCAUGUAUUGUUUUGUCAGACAAGUUUGAGAGGAUGGAAUAUAUGGUAUGUGGAUUUUAAAUCCAAUUUGGUUGGCUUUAAUGACAGCUUCUCUAUAAUGGUGAUUUGUAAUUGCA